AUUGGAUCCCAUUACGUUGCCCAGGUUGGCCUCAAACUCCCAAGCUCAAGUGAUCCUCCUGCCUCAGCCUCCUAAGUAGCUGGGACUACAGUUUAAUCAUUGGGAUACUGCUUCAGCAUUUUCUCCAAGAAGUUGAUUCACAAGGCUAGGCCAAGAGGGAGGCAGAGCAAGACAGCUGGAUAGAAGCCUCCACCAAUCAUCCUGCUCACAGCAACACCAAAAUGAACAAUUAUCCAUAAAAAAAAAGGAACUUAAUAAGAACCAAAAAUCAGUACCUGAAAGCAGGGAGGAGACAGUACAGUGAGGAAAAGCAUCUGACAAGGCCAGUUGGGGCAGAGGAUGGGAAGGAUGGAGACACCUUGGUUUGGAAGGCUAGGAAGCAGGCAAAGACUGGCUGUCACUUCAAAUCACCAACCGGGCCCACUGAUUCCAUCUACAAUCCUAACCCACCUCCUCGGGACUCCCUAUGCCUUCCUACCAGUGAAAUGCGAAAUAGCAGCACCUACCACAGCCAAGAGAGCACUUAACACAACAGCAGUUUAUGGACACGAAGAAGA